GAGUAGAAGAGAGGGUGGGGGGCGGCAGAGAGGUACCGAAGAUUCUGACGUUGUCUGUUGCACAAAACCGCACUGCUUGCUCUGACUGCACUGUCCAUGCUGCUGUAUCCUAGACUGUCUGCUUGAGACGGAGUCCGUUUACUCCACUCUACACCCGACUCUUCUGUCUUUGGCGCAUCCUUUUAGUUUCUCUUUAAAACCUUUGAUCGACUGAAGUGUUUUUCCAAGGAAAGAGACAGUUGAAACUGCCAGUAUAACCGGUUAUAAAAACGUGAAGAAGUCACUUGUUUGAAUAACUCUCUCCCCACUGCACGUACUCAACAUGAGCGAGCUCAGAUCCACUGGGAACCCCAACAGCAGCCAGGCGCCUGCGUCAGACAACAAAGAGAAGGCGGUUGACUCCAAGGCCCCAGCGACUGGGGAGGAGGAAGAGGAAGUGGACAUCGACUUGGAAGCGCCAGAGACGGAGAAAGCAGCGCUCGCCAUCCAGAACCAGUUCAGACGCUUCAAGAAGAACAAGAAGUAGUGACAGAAGGAGAAGAAAGAAAGAAAAAAAAGAAGAAAAAAAAAGACAAAAAACUUUCUGCAGAACAGAUAAAUAAAUAGUGAUGGAGGAGGACGGGUGGUGUGAGGGUGGAGACGUUGAGGAAGAGGGGAGAUGAAGUUAGGAAUUGUGUCAUCGCAAAUUAUAAAACCAACCAAUAUCUUCACUGUGAGAGAGGGAGA